rnacentral:lncRNA from 1 species
GAAAACAGGUGGUUAACAAGCUGGUUAAUCCAGGUUGUUUGCUGCAGGUGAUGGAGUCAAGUGCUUCUGACUGUGAAGAAUUAUUUUCAGGAUCUAGUCAGAUCCAGACAGGUUUCUUGUGGCUGUGCAAGCUCUAAAGGAGAUAUAGAGGUGUUUGAUAGCUACCUGUCAGAGUCAAUUUGCAAGAGUCACCAUGAAGUCUUGAGUAAUAGUCUCUAAGAAUAAUGAGUCUUUUCUUCUUGAAUUUCAGCCUGUGAUGUUUCCUGAAUUUCUGGAAGUGACAAGACACAUACACUAAAGCCUAAGAGUCAAAUCUAAGUGUCUCCUGCGUAAAGAACUGCUGGUCUCUCAAUAAAACACAACAACUGUGGUCAGAAAUGCUCAAGUCACCAGCACUAUUCUGGCACAACCAGCAGGCAAAAACUUAAGGAACAAUUCUCUUCUGGAUGAGUUUUCCAAUGACUCGAUUCUGCAGUCACCAGGUCAGAGAGUUGUGCAGGGAAACUUUGCUAGGUCAGGGAAAAUCACAGUGGAGGCAACGGCUGCACCUGCUUGAAGUGUCUAUCAUGCCAAAACACCUUAUGAGUAACCUUGAAGAUCCUGUAAUAUGGUUAGAGGCCACAGGGACAAUCUGGGUUCCUCAGAUGAGCCUGGUUUCUCUGGCCUGGCAUCAGGUCCAAAGGCUACUCUGCCAUUAUAAGUUGGAAACUCUAAA